AACUCGAUCUCAAAUCAAGUAAGACUACCCGCUGAACUUAAGCAUAUCAAUAAGCGGAGGAAAAGAAACUAACAAGGAUUCCCCUAGUAACGGCGAGUGAAGCGGGAUGAGCUCAAAUUUAAAAUCUGGCUGGUUUACUAGUCCGAAUUGUAGUUUAUAGAAGCGUUUUCGGUGGCAGCCUGGGUAUAAAUCCUUUGGAAUAGGGUAUCAUAGAGGGUGAGAAUCCCGUCUUUGACUCAGUGCAUGCUACUAUGUGAUACGUUUUCAAAGAGUCGAGUUGUUUGGGAAUGCAGCUCAAAAUGGGUGGUAAAUUUCAUCUAAAGCUAAAUAUUGGCGAGAGACCGAUAGCGAACAAGUACCGUGAGGGAAAGAUGAAAAGAACUUUGAAAAGAGAGUUAAACAGUGCGUGAAAUUGUUGAAAGGGAAACGUUUGACACCAGUUAUGCGGGUGGAAAAUCAGUCUUUUGCAAUGGGGAGUUGUGGGCGUUCAGACCGCAAGGCUGGCGUUUGCUUCAUCUUUGUUGUAAGUGAUGCACUUUUUCAUUUGCAGGUCAACAUCAGUUUGCUUUGCUGGACAAAACCCCAAGGGAAGGUGGCAGCUUAGGCUGUGUUAUAGCCCUGGGGCGAUACAGUGGAGUGGACUGAGGUUUCGCAGUGUGUGCUCUCGGGCAAGGCUGACUGGGUGCUAUGGGAUCGUUCGGCGUACAAUGCAUGCAUUUUGCGUCGUGUCUUUUUCAUACUCGCUCAACUCGGCUCUUCCACACUUAGGAUGUUGACUUAAUGGUUUUAAACGACCCGUCUUGAAACACGGACCAAGGAGUCUAACAUAUAUGCAAGUGUUUGGGUGGCAAACCCAUGCGCGUAAUGAAAGUGAACGUAGGUGCGAUCCGCAAGGUGCAGCAUCGACCGAUCUUGAUAUUUUUGGAUAGAUUUGAGUAAGAGCAUAUAUGCUGGGGACCCGAAAGAUGGUGAACUAUGCCUGAAAUAGGGUGAAGC
rnacentral:rRNA from 1 species